UACGAAGGGGGCGAGCGUUGUUCGGAAUCACUGGGCGUAAAGGGCGCGUAGGCGGCCCUCUUAGUCGUGUGUGAAAGCCCCGGGCUCAACCUGGGAACGGCGCGCGAAACGGGAGGGCUGGAGUUCGGGAGAGGAGAGUGGAAUUCCCAGUGUAGAGGUGAAAUUCGUAGAUAUUGGGAAGAACACCGGUGGCGAAGGCGGCUCUCUGGACCGAGACUGACGCAUGAGG
rnacentral:rRNA from 1 species